rnacentral:lncRNA from 1 species
UGAAAGCAGAGAGAGCCAUUCUCGAGAAAAGAAGGCCAAAGGAUGACUUGGAAGUACCUUGACAUGUAAGAUGGAGACUCACGUGUACACACAUUACGCCCUGCAGAAGAGAGAGCAGCUGAGCCCAUCACAGGAAGAGGACAAUUGAGUGAAGUCAAUCCAUGCUCACUGUCAAGAAGAAAACAACAACAACAAAAUUCAAAGAGCCGGGUGAGAUGAGAACUGUGAGGAAGGGCAAUGGUCUGGUUAAUUUGCAUCUUGAGAAGCCAGGCUCCCAGGUCAAGAUGCAGCACAUUUUCUAGUCUUCCUGCCCUUCCUCUGCAGUCACACGCCACAUGCUCUGUGUUCCUGGAAUGGCCCAUCUUGGCUGGGGACUAUGGAUUUCCUGAUCCUGGGGAAGACAUGUACAUGGAUUUAUAUCUCAUUUUUGAUAAAUUGGCCAAACGCAUCGUAAAACUCCAAGUUCAAGGUAUAAAACCAAAAAUAAAUGAAAUGGAAAGAAAGUGAAUAUAAUUCCUUGGUGUAACAGCUCGAGAGAUAUACCGCACCACUUCCAGUGGGGAGGUACACGAUUGGAAGAGGGAGGAAACGGAAGAGCUAAGUGAGUGGAGGUGAGGGCAGUCUGCCUCAAUUAAUUCCUCUAGUUGGAGAGAGAGAAACUAUAAUGAGGCUCCUUUGGGCCAGAUCCUUCAGAACAUAGAGUCCAAGGCAGACACGCGAACAUUUUUUUGGAGAGUACAAUUCGAGGGCAGCAAGAGCGAGGGAUGAGAAGAUGAGGCAGGGAAGAAUGAGAAGAUAUCCAAAGUGGUGCAUUAUGGACUUGGCCACAGUCCUACAAGAAGACACCCAGCAAGUCAUUUGGGCAUGCGGGGAAUCCUUGGAGAGAAUGUAAGGAAUAGGCUUGGAAUAUCUUGGAACAGUCCUUUGGAGAUUCUACUCGGGAGAGUAGAGAGGAAGGAAGAAAAUAUUGGCCGAAUUCUUUCCAUCUUUUGCCUCUUAUUAUUCAGAGCUCACCCCUCUGGGAAGCCAGACCCUCCGUGAAUCCGGCUGGCUCAGACUUGGUUGCUGGAGUUUCUGAGGCUCCACGAUCACCAGAACAUUCACACCACAAGAGGCAGGCUGGAGGCCACACUGAACCCAGCUCCUGCCCUGUGGGGAGGCUGGGAUGGCUGGCAGUUUUAGAAGGUAAGGUGAUGUAGCGAUGGCAGCCAAGAUUCUCCACUGAGCAAGCAACCGAGGGCCAGGGGCAGGAGGGGCCAAGCAAAUCCGGGGAGAAAAUAAACUGAGUCUGGAACAAGGGCUAUCUUGAGAA